rnacentral:lncRNA from 1 species
UUUUUUGGAAAAACUUCAAAAACUCCUUUGUAGUUUCAUAGUUUCUCACUUUGCUCCCCUAUAAUUUAAAAUGUAUCAAAUUGCUCCCCUGUAGUUUCGUUUUUAUCUUUUCGAUAGCUUUUUUGUUAAUAUUUUAUUAAAUUAUAUACAAAAAACUUCAGAUACCUAUCUAGAUUUAUCAAAUAUUUAUUUUAGUACCCUUUAAUUUUAACUUUAUCACUGAUUU